UGAUGACAACUUGGGUUGAAACUUGAAAUUUGAAAGGCCUUCUUGUUAAAAAAAUAAGAAAGUUUUCCAUGGUUAAAUUCUCAUCUGAAAGGUAGAAUAGUUUGAUGAUUGACCUAGACAUGUAUAAGCGUUUUAUUUUAAAUCUAAAAGGAAGAACGCAUGCCCUCAAAACAUGGAGCAAGGUGCCAUUUGUUUAUUUCAUCUUUAUGUCAACCUUUGGAAGUGUGAAGGUGACAUCAGUGGCAAGAGAUUAGGCCCCCUGUUUAAGCUACCUGUCCAAACUGAGCGUGCGCAGCUAGGCGCUGUUUGUUUCUAUGGCUCUGCUUGUUGCUGCCGUUCCAUUCCUGGGAUCCAUUGUCAACUUUGUCUCGUUGGAGUUUGGUAUAAUUAUUGACAAUUGCGCGUGCAUUAGCUCUCAUCGAGGCCUUUAUGCCUUAUAGAAUCUGUCUAAAUUUGUGCUGUUUCUAAGGUGGACUUGUUUAGGGUUUCUAGCUUGUUUUUUUCUUAUGUACAAUUUUUUAAAAGCUGAUGGUUGAUUCUAAUCACUCGCUGACUCAUUUCAUUUUUCGUGCAGAUUUCUCAGAAACCUACUGAAGAAAUACUUGAGUAGUCUGCACACUUCUUGUUUUCUUGGUGAGAGCUAAUUAGAAAGGGAUGUCAGCUAGCUAGGUUAGGUGUGGAUCAAGUGCCUAACACACUACUUAACGAAAUUUAGCCGUACCAAGUUUGCAACCCCGAAGAGUUAGUCCGCUGAAUUGCAGGCCUAAAGACCACAGCUGCCGGACACUUCAUGGUGGGAGCCCAAUUCUUUUUGCGCCAUACAGAGAUUGGAAAGGAGGGCCCGGCCUCUGAAAGCUCUCAGAGCUCGAGGUGUUCUUUGCCGCUUCUCCAAACUUGGAACCGAAGCACAAAGCUUCUGUUCUCGCAGCAAUUCUGGGGUCUCUCUAGUAACCUACGGACGGAAAGUUUGUGCUGAGUUUUGACUGCUUGUUUCUCCAGGUUCUGCUGAUCAUGAUUACUCCGUGUUGCUUAUGGCGUUAAGCAGUAAUCUCUCGCUGUUUUGUUGUGCGUAACCAUGAAAUCAUUAGAACUAAGCUAUGCUCAACAAACGUGUCGCAAACCCCCGCAAGAUUGCUUUGUACAGCAGACAUAUUCUGCGAUGUGACUGAAUUAGUUGCUUGGAAGAUAACAUAUUUUAGACGAA